rnacentral:rRNA from 1 species
UACGGGGGGGGGCAAGCGUUGUUCGGAAUUACUGGGCGUAAAGGGCUCGUAGGCGGCCAACUAAGUCGGAUGUGAAAUCCCCAGGCUCAACUUGGGAACUGCAUCCGAUACUGGAUGGCUUGAAUUCGGGAGAGGGAUGCAGAAUUCCAGGUGUAGCGGUGAAAUGCGCAGAUAUCAGGAGGAACACCGAUGGCGAAGGCAGGUCUCUGGGCAUUAACUGACGCUGAGGAGCGAAAGCAUGGGGGAGCGAACAGGAUUAGAACUAC